GCCUUUCUCGGGUGCUCGCCAGUACAGUCUUACUUCUUGAGCCGAUAAUUAACUGACAGGGGGUCUUCCUGUUGUCGUUGUUGUGCAUGUCUGCCUUGUAGCAGAAAGCCUGAUACGGCACAUCGACUCCCACUUGAACUUUACGGUUCAAGGGAAACGCUGUACAGCGGCACUUUUGAGGGCGCCA
rnacentral:other from 1 species